GGCUGUUAACCGAUCGGUCGUAGGUUGCCCUUUCACGGCGGUAACACGGGUUCGAGUCCCGUAGGAGUCA
rnacentral:tRNA from 1 species